rnacentral:rRNA from 1 species
GACGAACCGUGCAAACGUUAUUCGGAAUCACUGGGCAUAAAGGGCGCGUAGGCGGCUCUAAAAGUCAGGGGUGAAAUCCGGCAGCUUAACUGUCGCAGUGCCUUUGAUACUGUAGAGCUCGAGGGAGGUAGGGGUCUGUGGAACUUCCGGUGGAGCGGUGAAAUGCGUUGAUAUCGGAAGGAACGCCGGUGGCGAAAGCGACGGACUGGAUCUCUUCUGACGCUGAGGCACGAAAGCUAGGGUAGCGAACGGG